rnacentral:lncRNA from 1 species
ACCCUGAUCAGCAAGUCUCUUGUCAACAAUUGUCUCCACAUUACCUUUCUCAAACUCUCCAUAAGCCCACUCUGAGAACCUCUUUUGAUUGAUUUCUUCUGAGACUUCAAAGUUCCUCCUCCCACUCACAAGCUCCAACAAAACCAUACCAUAACUGUAAAGAUCAGAUUUUGAUGUUAUUGGGAGGUUUGCUAGCCAUUCUGGUGCCAAAUAUCCUCUCGCCUCUAAUGGUAGUCAAGGACCGGUACCUUUGAUCCUUUGUGCUUAUAAGCUUCGCUAGGCCAAAAUCAGACACCUUGGCAUUGAAAUUCGCAUCCAAGAGAAUGUUUUCUGGCUUUAUAUCACAGUGAACAAUGCAAUCUCGACAUUCCUCAUGAAGAUAAGUGAUUCCUCUUGCAGUCCCAAGAGCAAUGUUGAACCUGCGCUUCCAAUUCAAUAAUUUCCCUGACUGAUCUUCGGUCGUGAACAGGAAAUGAUCCAAAGAACCAUUUUUCAUGAACUCGUAUACUAAAAGCCUGUGACGCCCUUCGGAGCAAAAGCCAAUCAAUCUAACCAGAUUCAAAUGGUGAGUACUGCUUAUAGUUGCAACCUCCAUCCGAAACUGUCUCUCGCCUUGUUCAAUUCCCUCAAGUUGCUUUGCUGCAACUACUGUUCUGUUAGCAAGAACUCCUCUAUAAACAGCUCCAAACCCUCCUGCUCCAAGCUUAUCCUUAAACCCCUUCGUCCAGCGAUGCAGAUCCUUGUAAGAAAAGUGGACGGGAGCACCUGAGGCAUAAUCAAGAAGUGUAUACUGAGCCCACACACCUCCAAAUUUGGGACUAUUUUUGCAACAAAACCACCAAAACAAACCCACUAAAGCAGCCAAACCCAAAAGAGUGCCUGCAACCAAGACACCAACUUCCCAACCCCGCGAUUCCCGGAACUUUUUAUCUCCACCAAUCUGGUCAGAAGGCAAAGGAUUUGGUUGCACUGGUCCACAAACCUUAAUAUAAGAAGUACCAAGAAGCACUGGACCCUGAUAUCCACUAACAAAAUCAGGUGUGCUUUUCGUGUAACAAUAUAUAUAUGUGUCUGAUGUAGAAGUGCAAGCCACGCAAGAAGGGCUUGAUAAACAGUUCCCUCUGCAAGCUGUUAUCCCAGUGUUAAGAAUUUGCUCAGCCUGGAAACUAAGAAAUUUAGUCUGCUUUAACUCCAGCAUUGUUACGUUCCCUGCACAAUGCGCAACCUCCACUUUUCUCUUACACCCUUUUCUACUAUCAUUCAUAUCCACAGCCUCAAAAUUCAGAGAUGGGCAUUUGCAAAUCGGACUAAAACUUGACUCGUUAUAACUACAGAUCCCCAUGUUUCCACAGUAUCCAUAAACCUGACACUGAUCUGCUAAAGCUGCCCAUGUCAUAGCUGUAGUUCCACCACUAUACAUUCUCAGAUUCCCAUCGCUACCUAACCUCAAAAAUCUCAUUAUCUCACCCCCUUCUCCAUAAUCAUUGCCAAAAGCAACAGACAUCCGCGAACCAGCAUCUAAAAGAUUUAAAAUCCCAUUUGGCUGCAACUGCAAGGUUGGAGGAGUCAACUUCAAAGCAGAACUCAAGCCUUGAUUCCAGUACACAACACGUCGUUCCAUGUCAAGCUCAUAUUUCCACUGCUUAGAAGCCGGAAAGAGUAAACCCCUGAUCGCAAAGUUUGGUUUACAGUUAAAUUCUGUGACGGGACAAGAGUGUCGGUUGGGUUUUCAAAACUGGACCAGACAUUGAUACUGCCGGCUUUCAGUACCAGGUUUCCAGUAUCAUCAAGUGAAGCAGAAGUGACACCAAGGUUGGCAGUGUUGGAGGUCCACACGGUGGCACCUGAUCCGUUGGUGAGACGGAGAUUUCCGUUGGGGAGGAACUGGAAUUCUCCACCGUAGUCAAUGACAGCUGCAGAGGCAGUGCCAGCAACAACAUUGGCAGUUGUCCAGAUGGAAACUCCAGCAGUUCUAUGGGAGAUGGAAACGGUGUAGGAAGUGGGAUCCACUUGGGUAAAGCCUAGAAAGAAAGUGUUGUUUGGAGACGACCAGGUUUGGCUUGUGUUGGAGGCAUAAAGAGAGGAGCCUGGUGGUAUGUUUGCUGUGGAAGUAGUGGUGAAGACGAGAAGGAGAGGAAGCUGGAGGGAGAAGAGAACAGAAGUUCAUUAUUUUAUUUUUAUUUUUUUGUGGGCACAAUUGAGGCUGAGUGGUUAGUUGAUUUCUCGAUGUCUUAUAAAUGCAAAAGAAGUGAGGAUUUUCCCAUGUCUAACGUUGGACUAUUUUGUUUUUCCAGGAAAAAAAAAAAAGACAAAGAAAAGAAGUAAAACCAAACCACGGAAAAAUUGGUUUAGAACCUUGAGAAAAUUCAUUGCGUAUGCCGUAAGGCCAGACAGAAACACAGAACACAAGACUUUGAACAAGGAAUACAGCCUCAAGAACCGAAGGUCUCUAGUACUUUCUAGUGCUGACCGUUUCUCAUAGAAUGAUUUUCUAAUUCUCCUUUACACUUGUUAACUAUUAAAGUAAUUUACUCUAAAGUUUAGAUUAUAAUCUUUAUAUUAAUAAGCUCUUAACUUUAAGAAUGUAAUAUUUAUACUUGUAACUACUCAUGAUAUAUUAAAUAUAUGGGAUAUAUAGUCAUUAAAGCUUGAUGGAAGCUUUGGCUAUAAAUACUGUUAUUUAUCCUCAUAUUAAUUUACUUAAUUUCCUAAAGUUUUACACCAUUUAUAUAGAGUGAAUAAAGUUUAGAAAUGUCAAAUAUAUAUAAAAGAGAACAGUGAAUACGUAGGAACAUUAAUAACUGGAGGUAUUUUUUUUAUUAUUAAAUCUUAUAAUUUUGUUAUAAACAUAUUUAUUCCGCAUCAUAGAAUUGUUAAUUAAGUUUUACAAGUGCUUGAAAAAAAAAAAAAAAAAAAGGAGAGCUCGUAAGGAGACCUGGAAUCAAAGCACAUUCACACAAAUAAAAGAUAUUUCCCGCAGAUGAAACUCAUUAUGACUUCGAAUGGACUAGACAAAGGUAUGUUAUUUGGUCUUUUCUAGUUAUUACAAAAUUGUUCGAGUGUAUGUAAGUUUUUUUAAUUUUUUUCAUAGUAAAUUAAUGUAUUGACUCCUAAGAUCAACAAUAUUUAUAAAUGUUGACCUAUGUUUAUUUUUUCUUUUCAAAACUUUAAAGCAAUGAAAUUACUUAUUUAGUUCUAGGGUCAAAAAAGUAUUAAUUGUCACCAAGAGUUUUUUUUUUUUUUUUAGAAUAUAGUAAAAAUAUAUUUUUAUCUUAGAAAAAACAAAUAACAAGGCAUGCAUUAGGUAUUUUUAUCUUUUCACACAAGUUUUUUUUAUGAUAUAUUAUUAUUUUUAAUUUAGUUUUUAUUUUUUAACUUUAGAUUUUUCCCUUAACUUUUUUUUGUUAAAGUUUUAUUGCCACAAAGAAAUAGGUGAGGGUUUGUUUGGCUUUGCAAAGUCACAUCAUAUUAUCAUAUUAUGCCUCAACUUUCAAUUAAAUACAAAUGUUUGGUACGUCUUUUUAAAUAUAUAGAAACCACUUAAAAGCUUUAAUUUUUAAGAACAUGAGAUUAAUUACCAGCUUUUUUCAAAAAUUAAUUUUUUUUUACUAUAAUUUUUGUUUUAUUCUUAUUUUACAAAAUUAUCCUCCAACCAAGAGUGAAUGCAUGUUAAAGACUUGGAUGCGCUGUAACCUAAAUCAAAAUUUUAUUAAUAUUGUUUAACUAGUUUUAUGUAAAAUAAAUUUAUAAUUCUUGAUUGAAUUAUAAAACAAUUCUGAAAUUUUACAUGGAGUCUUCUAAUAUAAUGCUUUAGCUUGGGUUAAAAUUUCAGAAUUUUUAGAAAAAUUCAGAAAUUUAAUAAAAAAAAUCAUAAUUUGAUCAGUUUUAUAUUAUUGGAUGUAAUUUUUAAAUCAGCCAUCAAAUUGAGCUGAAAUUUUAUAAGGAAUCUUAGAAAAUAUUUAAUAAAAUCUGGUUAAAAUUUUAGAAUUAAAAAAACUUGAUAGUGUUAAAAAAAAACAUCAAAUAAAAACAAAAUAACUCAUUAAAAAUAAAAUAAGUUAAUAAUUGAUCUUUAAAAAAAUUUAUAUAUUUAUUUAAUAGCACAUAACAGAAAACAUUUAUGGCUCCAACCUUUCAAGAUAAUUAUGGUCGUAUUAUAUAUAAAUCCCAUUGUCUUUUAUAUAGGUGUAUAUAAGCUAUUUGGUUUUUCUUUUUUCUUUCUUUCUUUCUUCGUUAUUUCCAUUGUCUUCGUUACUGGUCUAGAUUUGGACCCUGUCAUCUGCGUUCUUUUGCUCUCUGUCUCCACUAAUUCUUGUUUUUUUGGUUUCUGGAUUUGUUUUACGUUGUGCAAUCGCUUCUUUGGUUCUUGGUUUGUUUCUAUGGUGGUUGUGAGAGGCUUCCCAGGUGUGCUUCACCUCACAUAGUUUGUCACUCUCAUGCUCUUGUUUGUUUUACCUCGGUUGCAUGUUUUUGUUUGAGUCUCUUUUCCAUGGACCGUUGGUUUUGACAAAGUUGGGGUUUUGAGUAGCGGUAAUUAUUUUCGAUUCUUCAGUUUUUAUCAAAAAAAGUCACCAAACCAAUUUUUUUUCAAAAAAAUCGGAAUCGAUUCAAACCGACCGGUUUCAAUUCGGUUCGGUUAUUUUAGAAUAAAAACCGGUUUUUCCAGUUUAGCUCGAUUUUUUUUUGUUUUGUCAGUUUCAAUUCGAUACGAUUUUUUCGGUUUAAGACUUAUAAAACCAAACCGAACAGGUUGGUUUUUUAAAAAUUCUAAUCUGUUUAAUUGGGUUUUUUUCACGGUUUGGUUUUUUCAGUUAUUUUUUCCCGGUUUAAGCAGUUUUUUAGUUUUUUUACUCACCCCUAAUUUAAUUUUGAAUGCAAUAAGUGAAGAGGAGAGGAAUAAAUGUUUCAAAGUAGUCCUAGUUUGGAAGAAAUAUAAACAAAUGGUUUAGAGGUUUUUGAAAAAUAAUAUGGUUUGUUGAAAAUUGAGGUAGAAUCACAUUGGUUAGAAAAGUAUUUGAAAAAUACUACAAUUUGGACACAAUUAUCUUUUUAAAAAAUCAAUUCAAAAUUUUAUGAAUUUUAUGAAAAUAUAAUAGUUAAAAGAUGAGAUUCAAGAUAUAUGUGAUGGGAAAAACAAGAUAUAUGUGAUGGGAAAAAGAAAUGAAGGAAAAAAAAUAAGUUAUUACGGACUCACCAGGUUUUGUUUUUUAUAUAUUCAAUAUAAUUAAAAAAAUCUCAAUGAAAUAAUUAUAACCAUACAUUAAAAGAAUAACAAAUAAAGUCAUAAUUAACCUUAAAUUACUUGGCCAUUUUAAUGUAUUAUCCUAUGAGAAAAGCUUCCACUUAUUUCUUUCAUUGUUGUUAAGACAUUUCUUUGCACUUUAAAGUUUCGUAAGAACAUAGUCUUUUCCCCUUUUUAUUCUUACAACAACUUAAAAAGUACUUUAUAUUGAAAAACCAUAAACCUCAAUUCCCAAUAAAUCAAAUGUUGAAAAAUAAGAUCAAUAAAAAUAAUCAAUUACACAAAAUGAACUAAAAUAGAAAAAAAAAUUGAUAAUUAAAAGAGCAAGGAUGAAAAUGAAAAUAAAAAAUAAAUUAGAAGGCAAUUAAAUUUUUUCAAUUAGAGGGGUUAAAGUGGAAAGAAAAAUAACUUUAAUAAAAGAAAAAAAUCAAAAGAAUAGGGACCAAAUUGAAAAAAAUAAUACACCAUAAACUUGGAUUAAAUGAUAAAAUUAAAAACCAAUAAAAUUUUUAUAGAAAAACCAAGGAAAAAUUAAAAUUAAAAGAAUAAGAACCAAAUUGGAAACAUAUAUAACAUAUAACAAAUUGUAAUUGAAGGACUAUAUUGAAAUAAAAAAACACAUUUUACCAAAGUGUUAAGAAAAAAAAUUAAAAAUCAAAAUAAUAAGAUUUGAAGUUGAAGUAUAAAAAAUAAAGAGGAUUAACCUGUGAUUUUUUGAGGGGGAGAGAUGAAAAAAAAAAAAGGCUCAUUAGUAACAAACCACCUCUCCGUCACCGAAAUGAGCUGCAUCAAGAGAAAGAAAACAUGGCGUCACUUUCAAUGACAUGACAAAAGGACAAGUUUUGCCACUAAGAGGUGUUGUAGGCGCCACCUAGUAUGCACGAGUGCCUUUAACAGACACCAACAAUUUUUAUUUUAUUUUAAUAUUAAUUGAUCUUGUUUAAAAGAUUAAAUCGCACUCAAUGAACUAGAAGAGAACAAAAAAGGCAAGGUUGUUUUUCUUACUUUAAGAGAAUUUUAGUAACUUAACUAUGAAUUCAAAAGUAAAAAUUCAAAACUGCUCCUACAUACAAAGAUUUAUUUUCUUCUUUUUCCUUUUUUUUUUAAUCUCCAAGGGCAUUUUUGUCUUUAUAUUAUUCAUAAAAUAAUUAAAAGAUCUUGUUGCCCCGUCAACCAAGUCAAAGUUUUUGGAAUUGAAAGGCAAGACCAUAAAUUAAUGGUUGGGCCGAUCUCGGCCUAGCAUUUAUUUAUUUACUUUUAGGGGUUGGGUUGGACCUAGCCCAUAAAUUUAGGAUGGGCCAGAUACAACCCAACCCAACGUCCGCUGCAUGAGUUGUGGGCGUGAAUUAUAAUUCACUCCCAUUGUUCAUGUGAACAGUAGGGCGUGAAUUAUAAUUCACGCCUACUGUUCACGUAGUGAACAACAUGGAGAAGAAGAGGAAGAGGAAAAGGAAAGUUACCUAGCGUGGAGGUGGUCUAACCGAGGAGGACGACGCAGUGCAAGCGGUGGUAACGGUGGAGAGUUGAGCCGCCGCGGUUGUUGUUGCUCGCGUUGCAGGUGCUGCUGUGACGGUCGGUGCUGGGGUUGCUUGGGGUUAGAGCGGAUGAGAAGGGUUUCGCCGCCUCUGCUGCAGUUGGUAAGGGUGGAAGCCGCUGUAAAUGGUGGUUGCAAUCACUGUUAGGGUGGCGGUGGUAGAGAGAGAAAAAAAGUUUCACAAAGAAGAGAGAGAGAGAGAGAGAGGUGGUGCCACCACGUGAGGUUGUUGAGUGGCUGGCUGUGAUGUAUAAUGUGCUGGGAAGGACGGUGGUGAGAGUGGUGGCGGCCGAAGGUGCGGCUAAGAAGGAGAAAGCAGAAAAGGAUGAAAACAGGGGAGAAAGGCUGAUUUUUUGUCAACUUUGCACUUGAUUCCCCCCCCUAGGCCAUCAACUUCGUCUCUAUUUAUAAGCGGUGGAAGAGGGCAAUCUUGUCUACAUUGGGGAAAAAUUUCAGCCCUUGAUUCGGUUGGGAAGGAUCCCAACCGUUGGCUCAAAGUGAGCAUCAUGACCUGUUCAAUUCGCAGAAAAGGUUGCCCGAGUUGGCCUGAUUAGGCCGGCGUCAGCACCGUCUCGUUGACAUUUAGACUGAAAUGCUCAGUUGGAGUUGUAAAGAAACUGUGGGGGAUCAUUUGCGUGCAUUUUUUUGUUAGAUUUGAUGGAGAAAAGAAGCAUUAAAUGCUCCUGAAAAGUAGCCGUCUAGGCAGCAUUCACAGGCGAAAUCGGGGAAGACAAUGAAUAGUACAAGACGACGCGUUGUCUUUUUUUUUUUUUUACACAAAACGGCGCCGUUUUGGAUUGAAUUAGGGAGUUUAACUGAUUUUCAAUGUAAUCCUCCAGCUUUCAAUUGACUUCAAUUGAACCCCUAAUUGGCCAUAAACUUUUGAUUUAAUACAAUUAAGCCCCUGAUGAACUUCAAUUUGAACCCUGAAGUUACGCACCUUUUACAACAUGGUCCUUGGUCUCGGAUUUGGUCAAUUUAACCCCUAAUUGACCAUUAAACUUUCAAUUUCUUCAAUUUCACCCCUAAAGUUUGGCGCCUGUUGCGAAUUGGUCCCUGAUCUCGGAUUUCUUCAAUUUAACCCCUAAUUGACCCCAAAACUUCAAUCUUCUUGCAAUUUGGCCCUCACUUUCAAUCAAUUAACUUGGUAAAAAUUAAAUUUGGUCUUUUAAAAUUUCAAUCUUCUCAAUUAAGCCCAAAUUAAGCUCCCAAGCUUAAUUUUUCACCAAUUAAGCCCCAAAUAAAAUUAAUUUGACCCAUUUAAAGUAUAAUUAAGUCCUUGCACUUAAUUAAAUCCUUUAAUUGAAUCAAAAUUAAUUCUCAAAUAUAAUUAAAAUUCAAUUUGGCCAAUGAUUAAAUCAAAUUGGCCUAUUAAAAAUUUAAUUAUGUCCUUGAACUUAAUUUUUCACUAAUUAAGCCUGAAAUAAAAUUAAUUUGACCCAUUUAAAGUAUAAUUAAGUCCUUGCACUUAAUUAAAUCCUUUAAUUGAAUCAAAAUUAAUUCUCAAACAUAGUUAAAAUUUAAUUUGGCCCAUGAUUAAAUCAAAUUGGCCUAUCAAAUUGGCAAAUUCGUCUAAUAAUCAUUUAAUUUGACCUUGAAUUUGCAAUGUUUUUCCAUUUUUUGGGCAUAAUGGGGUACAAUUAGGCCUUGAAUUUCCUCCAAAAAUUACAGCUUGAUUUCCCCGUCUACUUUCUGCAUAUUGCUAGCCUUUAUCUUAUUUUUUUAUUUUUAUUUUGAAAAAAAAAAUAUUUUUGAGGAAUAACCAAGAAUUGAGUUAUUACAAUGCACACGAGAUUUGCAUACCAUCUUGAGGCAAACAACUUUGGUAGAGAAUAAUUGAGCAAACGUUUACCUUAAAAAAUUUAUGCUUGUGUAGUUACAAGUUUGUUGAACAGAAAUCGGGCUCGUGGAAAGCAUGAAGUCUAAUGAGAUUUUAUUUCAAAUGAUUCCAACAAUGAUGGAUAUGGCCUCUCCAUAAUCCUCUCUGAAACUAUAGGGGAUAUGCCUGCAGUUCAAAAUGAUGAAGAUAAAGAGGGUGGUGGAGCUGAGGCUUCACUAUUGGUGGGAGGAACCACUGGUGGUGGCUUUAAAACACUCAGAGGGGAUAAAACACGAAGUUUUAUUACAAAAAACAGAAGCUUAACAAUAACAAUAAAGCUUUACAAUACACACCCUCUCUCUCUCUCUAUCUAUUGUUUUUCUCUUCUCUCCACACUUAUAAUAACCUUAGCUUAGAUGCUUAUUUAUACACAAAUUCAGUCGGCUCAAAAUUCAACCGUCAUGGUGUGAAAAAUGGUUGGCGGCCAAUGGUGUGAAUGCGGCUAGGCGGUGGCAGCUGGUGGCUGGCGGCUGGUCGGUGACAGCUGGUGGCCGGUGAGGCGGUGGUUGCCUUCCUUGACCUUCUGGAUGUUGAGUUUAAUAUUCAACAAAUCUCCCCCUUAAACUCAAUCGAGGGAUGUCAUGCCUAGCAUGUACUUUAAUCUGAUAAAUACUUCUCUUUUCAAUGGCUUUGUGAAGAUGUCUGCAACUUGAUCAUUUGUGUUGCAAGAUAUCAGUUGAACUUCUUCAUUCUUCACAUGUUCCCGGAUAAAGUGAUGACGUGUAUCAAUAUGUUUGCUCCUCUCAUGAUACACUGGAUUCUUUGCCAAUGCGAUUGCUGAUCGGUUGUCAAUAUAAAUCUCCGUAGGAUUUUCUUGAGGAAAUCCCAAAAACUUCAGCAUAUUCCUUAACCAUAUUGAGUGGCAUACGGCUGAGUUGGCAGCUACAUAUUCAGCUUCACAGCUUGAUAACGUGACAAUCGAUUGCUUCUUGGAUGACCAUGUGAAAGAUGUGUCUCCCAUGAAAAAGACAAACCCUGUUGUGCUUUUCCUUUCAUCCAAAUCUCUACCCCAAUCACUAUCCGAGUAGCCUACAAGAUUAAAGUCUUUACUUGAGGUAUAAAACAUACCUUCAUUCAUUGUGCCUUUGAUGUAGCGAAGAAUUCUCUUGGCUGCAUUCAAAUGAGACUGGUCUGGUGUCUCCAUGUAUCUGCUGACGAGUCCGACUCCGUAGAGUAUAUCUGGUCUGGUACAUGUCAAGUACCUUAAGCUUCCUCAAUUCCACUCCAUUCUCAACUGGAGUUGAUACCGGAUUGCAGCUUUCCAUCUUGAACCUUUCACGAAUAUCUUUGGCGUAACCGCUUUGGGAUACAAAAAUCCCUUCUUCCUUCUGCGUUACUUCUAAGCCAAGAAAAUGUGACAUUAGACCAAUGUCAAUCAUUUCAAACUCCUGUACCAUGCUUUGUUUGAAGUCGUCAAACAUGGUAGGGUUGUUGCCGGUGAAUAUCAAAUCAUCAACAUACAGGCACGCAAAUAAGAUGCUGCCAUCUGCUCCUUUCUUCACAUAUAUAGCGUGUUCAUAUGGACAUUUCUCAAAUCCAUUAUCUUGAAAAUACCUGUCAAUUCUGGUAUUCCAAGCACGCGGAGCUUGCUUCAAACCAUAGAGAGCCUUCUUCAACUUGUAUACUUUGCCUUCAUUUUCAGCAUCAAUGUAUCCAAGUGGUUGUUCAACAUAGAUUUCUUCUUCUAGGAAGCCAUUCAGAAAUGCUGACUUCACAUCGAGUUGAUAGAUCUUCCAUCUAUGUUGUGCAGCUAGUGAGAUCAUCAGUCUGAUUGUCUCUAGCCGGGCUACUGGAGCAAAUAUUUCUCCAUAGUCAAUGCCUUCUCUCUGUUUGUAGCCUUUAGCCACUAAUCUGGCUUUGUAUCUUUGCACUUCUCCUUUGGCAUUCUUCUUCGUCUUGUAGACCCAUUUGACACCUAUUGCUUUCUUGUUUUCUGGUAGAUAAGUCAGCUUCCAGGUAUCAUUCUUCUCAAUGGCAUGUAUUUCUUCAUCCAUUGCUGUUAUCCAUUUCUCUUCUGUGACAGCUUCAUUGAAGCUUAAUGGGUCACUAUCUGCAAAGAAACAAAAUAAAUUUGUAUCUUCCAUAACUUGAGUGGCAUCAUACAGCUCUUCAAGAUUCCGCAUCCUUCUUGGUCUUCUGAUGAGAUGCUGAUGGUGGUGUUGAUGAUGAUGCUCCUGGUGUAUUCCUCCUGUUGAAUACAGGGAAUCUGUGCACCGGACUUUGUGGUUCAGCUGCUGGCAUAAUCACCGGAUUUUGUGGUUCAGCUGCUGGCACAAUCGGUUCUUCUAUAAGUACUGUUGGUACUUCUUCACCUUCAAGGAUCAAAUCAGUGUUGAUCCAUCUGACUGCUUCUUGAUCAUCAUUCCAUGCCCAAGAUUUAUCUUCUUCAAAGAUAACAUCUCUACUCGUAAUCACCUUCUUCGUGAUGGGAUUAUACAGCCUGUAUCCCAUCCUUCUUUCACCAUAUCCGACAAAGAUGCAUUUCUCGCUCUUAUCAUUGAGCUUUCUCCUUCUUGCAUCUGGGAUCUUUGCAUAUGCCACACAACCAAAAACUCGUAGAUGAGUUACACUUGGUUUGUGACCACUCCAUGCUUCUUCUGGAGUGAUUCCUUGCAAACUUCUGGUUGGGCAGCGAUUCAACAGAUACACUGCACAUGAUACAGCUUCAGCCCAGUAUUGCUUGGGCAACUUCUUUGCUUUGAGCAGACUUCUAGCCAUGUCAAGAAUUGUGCGAUUCUUCCUUUCUGCUACACCAUUCAGCUGUGGUGUAUAAGCUGGCGUCGUCUGAUGUCUAAUGCCUUGUUGUGUACAAUAGGCUUCAAAGUCAUUGGCUGUAUAUUCUCCACCUUGAUCAGAUCUCACUGUUCUGAUCGUGUAACCAGUUUGCUUCUCCACAAUUGCUUUAAAAUCUUUAAAACAAUUGAAUACUUCUGACUUCCUCUUCAGAAAGUAUAUCCACGUCUUUCUACUAAAAUCAUCAGUAAAAGUGAGGAAGUACCUAUUUUGUCCAGUCGACAUAGGCGUAAUUGGGCCACACACAUCUGUGUGUACUAACUCCAGUGGCCUCUUUGCUCUCCAGUUGACUUCUUUGGCAAAACUGGAUCUGUGAUGUUUGCUGAGGACACAACUCUCACAGACUUCAUCUGGAUGAUCAAUGUGAGGCAAACCUUUGACCAUCUUCUUGCUUGCUAGCAUCUUCAGACUUGUGAAAUUCAGAUGUCCAAGCCUUAGGUGCCAAAGCCAUUCUUCACUGUUGGUGAUGGCUAGCAUCUUCAGACUUGUGAAAUUCAGAUGUCCAAGCCUUAGGUGCCAAAGCCAUUCUUCACUGUUGGUGAUGGCGCUCAAACACCUUGUUGCAUCAUACUGGAUGUUCAAAGGAAACAUCCUAUUCUUGGACAUUUUCACGUAGGCCAUUAAUCUCCCAUUGUUGUCUCUAAUUGCUAGAUGACAAUUCUUCGAGUAAAAAAUAUAUCCUCUCUCCAACAGUUGACCUAAGCUGAUCAGGUUCUGCUUUAUGGCUGGGACAUAAUAGACAUCGGCGAUGUAGCUGGAAUCGCCAUUCUUCAACUUAACUGGGAUGCUGCCUUUACCUUUGAAUGGAACCUUUGUGGUAUCUCCAAAAGUAACUAGACCUUGCUUGGUCUCCUCUAGAUCACGAAAUAACUCUCGGUAGCCGCACAUGUAAUUGCUGGCUCCAGUAUCUAGAUACCAUAUAUCCUCAUGUUUCUCAUCAUGUCCUUGUUGGACAAGAAAUGCAGUUUCUUCUCUAUCAUCCUUUUCUGCAUAGUUGACUUGCUCACGUAUCUCUAACGGAGUUUUCCUUCGGCAUUCAGUGCUAUAGUGCCCAAAUUGAUUGCAGCUAUAACAUUUGAUAUUCCUCUUGUCAUGGUUAUUGUAACCGCCUCCUCUUCCUCUAGGAGUGAAUGCUUGUUGUCCUCGGCCUCCUCUGGUGGUGCUUCUACCACCUCUUCCUCUGAAGUUUGUAUUCCAAGAUCCUCUUCCUCUUCCUUGGAAUCUAUGAAAUCCUCCUCUGGAUUGUUGACUUCCUGCUUGAGUGGUGUAGCCACCUGUUGAAGUCUCCCAUUGCUCAUAUCUGUCUUUGAAAGACAGCUUUGCUUGUAAGGCAUGCUCAAUGGCCUUAUCUUCAUUUCGCAUUACAAUCUUCUGCUCAUGAGCUUGCAAAGAACUCAUAAGUUUCAUCCACUAUCAACUUGUCCACUUCCUUGGACUCUUCAAUUGCGACAACAACAUGAUCAAAUUUUGGAUCUAUGGAUCUCAAAAUUUUCUCAAUAAUUCGAGUAUCUAUGAUGGCUUCUCCAUUUCUCCUCAUCUGAUUGACUAUCACCAUAAUCCUUGUAUGAUAAUCAGAAAUAGAUUCUGAGGACUUCAUUCGUAAUAAUUCGAAUUCUCCUCUCAAAGAUUGAAGACGAAUCUUCUUGAUUCUGUCAGCACCUUUGUAUUUUUUGUUGGAGAGCCUCCCAUAUAUCAUGUGACGUUUCAGCGGAAGCUAUUAUCUCGAAUGUAUCUUCAUCAAGACCUUGAUAGAUGAUGGUCUUUGCCUUGUUGUCCUUCUUUCUGUUGACUUUCAAAGCUUGCUUCUGUGCCUCUUGUAAAGCAUCUUCUCUUUCUUUGGAUUCUGGUUCAUCAUAACCAGUUUGUACAAUAUCCAAACACUCUUGUGACCCAAGGAAUGCCUUCAAUCUGAUGCACCAACUAUCAUAGUUGUCUUUGGUCAGCUUCGGGAUGAGUGUAUGUGUACCUUCUGUAGUCAUUUUGCUCUUUGAAUGACUAUAUCACCUUUCUGGGAGCCGAAUUUGGCCAAACGGACACUGUAGAUCGAUCCGGAAUGGUCCAAAUAGUAGGGAACCGGUCUUACUUUGUUGAAAUCGGGUCAAACAACAAUGGGUGAAAUCGGGAAUAUUCUCUCUCGGCUGCGGCUGGAAUACGACUCGGCUCGGCGCGGAGGACGGCUCGGCUUGUGGCUCGGCUGGACUCGGCUAUCGGCUCGGCUGGCGCUCGGCUUAGGCGGCUUACACGGCUCGAAUAUGGCGCGCGUGGACGACACUCGUCGUCUUCCUCUGGAGCGCGUGGGUGCGCGUGGGUUACAGUCACCGGAUCUUCAGACGGCGCGUGUGGAUCACCCCGGACUCCGAUCAGGCUGAUUUUUGCGGCAGUGAACUCGUCUUGAGGAGCUCUACACUGUGGAAUGAUCAAAACUUGUUUUUGACAAUUUUGAAAAUUCGGAUAUACCCCAAAACACUUCUGUUUUCCGACGAACGGGGCUCUGAUACCAAUUGUUGGUGGGAGGAACCACUGGUGGUGGCUUUAAAACACUCAGAGGGGAUAAAACACGAAGUUUUAUUACAAAAAACAGAAGCUUAACAAUAACAAUAAAGCUUUACAAUACACACCCUCUCUCUCUCUCUAUCUAUUGUUUUUCUCUUCUCUCCACACUUAUAAUAACCUUAGCUUAGAUGCUUAUUUAUACACAAAUUCAGUCGGCUCAAAAUUCAACCGUCAUGGUGUGAAAAAUGGUUGGCGGCCAAUGGUGUGAAUGCGGCUAGGCGGUGGCAGCUGGUGGCUGGCGGCUGGUCGGUGACAGCUGGUGGCCGGUGAGGCGGUGGUUGCUUUCCUUGACCUUCUGGAUGUUGAGUUUAAUAUUCAACAUUCACAAGUGCACUGAGCACUAUCUUUACUGCUCAAAUUCGUACUUGUUCCACUAGUAGAGCCUUUCAUCAAUGCCUUUGGUGCUGGUGGUCUUGCAAUCUCUAUAAUUCCUUCAAGCAUUUGCACAACUUUUCCCAUUGUUGGUCUUUGAGAGGGAUGCUCCUGAAUGCACCAAAAGCUAACCUGAACAGCUCUCGUCACUUGUUCCAUGUCCACACCCUGAUCAACAAGCCUCUUGUCAACAAUUGUCUCCACAUUACCUUUCUCAAACUCUCCAUAAGCCCACUCUGAGAACCUCUUUUGAUUGAUUUCUUCUGAGACUUCAAAGUUCCUCCUCCCACUCACAAUCUCUAACAAAACCAUACCAUAACUGUAAAGAUCAGAUUUUGAUGUUAUUGGGAGGUUUGCUAGCCAUUCUGGUGCCAAAUAUCCUCUCGUGCCUCUAAUGGUAGUCAAGGACCGGUACCUUUGAUCCUUUGUGCUUAUAAGCUUCGCAAGGCCAAAAUCAGACACCUUGGCAUUGAAAUUCGCAUCCAAGAGAAUGUUUUCUGGCUUUAUAUCACAGUGAACAAUGCAAUCUCGACAUUCCUCAUGAAGAUAAGUGAUUCCUCUUGCAGUCCCAAGAGCAAUGUUGAACCUGCGCUUCCAAUUCAAUAAUUUCCCUGACUGAUCUUCGGUCGUGAACAGGAAAUGAUCCAA